GCCUCCAUAGUUUAAUGGUAAAACAACGGGUUUAUACCCCGCAGUGACAGAUAAUCAGUCGUUCUCAGUUCAAAUCUGAGUGGAGGCCCCA
rnacentral:tRNA from 1 species